rnacentral:rRNA from 1 species
AUUGAACGCUGGCGGCAUGCUUUACACAUGCAAGUCGAACGGUAACAGGGAGCUUGCUCCGCUGACGAGUGGCGAACGGGUGAGUAAUGCGUCGGAACGUGCCGAGUAGUGGGGGAUAACGCAUCGAAAGGGGUGCUAAUACCGCAUACGAACUGAGGUUGAAAGUGGGGGACCUUCGGGCCUCACGCUAUUCGAGCGGCCGACGUCUGAUUAGCGAGUUGGUGAGGCAAAGGCUCACCAAGGCGACGAUCCGUAGCGGGUCUGAGAGGAUGAUCCGCCACACUGGGACUUCGACACGGGAGCCACUCCGACGGGAGGCUGCAGUGGGGAAUUUUGGACAAUGGGCGCAAGCCUGAUCCCGCCAUGCCGCGUGUCUGAAGAAGGCCUUCGGGUUGUAAAGGACUUUUGUCCGGGAGCAAAUGCUGGUGGCUAACAUCCACCGGAGCUGAGAGUACCUGAAUAAUAAGCACCGGCUAACUACGUGCCAGCCGCCGCAGUAAUAC